rnacentral:rRNA from 1 species
GACGAACGCUGGCGGCGUGCUUAACACAUGCAAGUCGAACGGAAAGGCCCUGCUUGCAGGGUACUCGAGUGGCGAACGGGUGAGUAACAAGUGGGUGAUCUGCCCUGCACUUCGGGUUAAGCCUGGUAAACUGGGUCUAAUACCGGCUAGAAGCCAUUUUUAGUGUGAUGGUUGGAAAGUUUUUUCGGUGUAGGAUGAGCUCGCGGCCUAUCAGCUUGUUGGUGGGGUAAUGGCAUACCAAGGCGGCGACUGGUAGCCGGCCUGGGAGGGUGGACGGCCACAUUGGGACUGAGAUACGGACCAGACUCCUACGGGAGGCAGCAGUGGGGAAUAUUGCACAAUGGGGGCAAGCCUGAUGCAGCGGCGCCGCGUGGGGGAUGACGGCCUUCGGGUUGUAAACUCCUUUCGCUAUGGAUGAAGCUUUUGUGACGGUACCUAGAUAAGAAGCACCGGCUAACUACGUG